rnacentral:lncRNA from 1 species
UAAGCAAAGUUGCAGUAACGUUCCGUGUAAUCAAUGGACCCCAUACGUGUACCGAUGUGUUCCAUCUUGUAAACGCUCCUUUUAUAUGUGGAUAGCUUGUCCAACUGGUGACCGUAGAUUCCCGUAUAAGUACAUCAGAAUAGAGAAAAGGUUACCACAAUGUUGUGAAUGUAAAAGAUACAAGUGCUGAAGAUGUGAGAGUCAAAACCAGUUUUCAUGUCAAUUAAUGAAUAAAUAAUUUAAACGUGUU